rnacentral:lncRNA from 1 species
AGAUAAAGGCGCAGGAAGGAACCGCGGCGUGGCUGGCGGGCGCUGCGCAUGCGCACCGCCUUUAGGACGCCUGAGGCUGUUUUGGCUAUCCUGGAUACCUUGCAUUUCCAUGUGAAUUUUAGGAUCAGCUUGACCAUUUCUGGAAAAAAAAAGGCCAUUGAAAUUUUAUAGUAAUUAUGCUGAAUAUAUCGAUCAAUUGAGAGGUGCUGUCCUGAUAAAAAUAUAUUGCAAAUGCCUAAGGUACAAGGCGAGAUAUUAAGGCUUCAGUUAAGACAACGACUUUUGAGAAGAGUGGAGAAUGAAAAUGGAAAUAGAGGAGACACUACUGAGGUUACGAGAGAGAGAGAGAGGAAAGUGAAAGCGGGAAAAGUUGCUAAUAAUACUGAUAUGCUCACCGUUGUUAAGCUUUAUUUCAAUUUUUUUCUUUAGAAAUAUGUAAAGAGAAAACAUAUUCUUGGUUCCUGAUAACGAUUGCCAAAUUACUUCUCAAAGAGCUUCUCAAUGACAUUGCUAUCAACAUGAAAUGAGAAUAAUGGAUUCCUGAAAAUAUUAGCAGCUUCUGUGUGUUACACAGCAUUUUCAUGAAUCUAAUAGAAUCAGUAAUGGUGUUACAGUAGGUAGUUGGUCACACAUGAUCAGGGCAAGAGAGGGCUCCUUGCAUCCCACCAGAAAUGUCAGCUGAACAUCAGAUGACGGUCAGGCAGUUGUUAGCGGUCUCUCUAAAAUAAUAGUUGGGCACAUCCAGCGCCAGGGAAAGGUAGUCUCCCAAUAGAUAGAAAAACCUGAAACUGGUGAUCAGCUUCCUGAUAAGGUCUCAGGAGUUGGGUGACUGGGCUCGAGCAUGAACACUAAGAGGAAAAAUGGCAAAGUUUAACUGGUGUAUGAAUUCCCCUAGGAACACUCAACUGGUAUGAGAAAAAUGCUUGAAGUGAGCACAUGCACAAUUCCAGUAAACACACUGAGCAUGCAGCCACUCCCAAGAGCUGGCAGGCCACUGCACAUACAAAUAGGCCACCCCAAGGGAAGAAUUGGGAGAAGGGAUGAAAGACCUCAGAAGUAUGCCAACAUGUAAAACUCCAAGUCAAAGAUCAAACAGGGCACUUGAUCUCUCAAGUUGCCUGCUUGGCCCUCUUCCAGAUGAGUAAUUCCAUCUCCAUACCAGAGGAUUUGCCCCUUGGAUUAUUCCCAAAAACUGGAAAAAGUUUGAUUCUCCUAAACCUUAAAAAAAAGCCAAAAACUAGUUUUACUUUGUAAUACUGUUUGACCUAAAAAUGAACUGGGUGAAAAUACAAACAUCAGCCUGAGACCCCAGUAACCUUAUGCAGGAAAUCCUCAAAUUAGCCUCUUCAGUCUUUUACAACUGAGAGCAGAAUAAAGAGGACAGAGGGAAAAAGAAGAACAAACACAAAGAUAAGAGGCAGGCUCAACUAUUGGCUGCUUUAUAAGCUCUCCAGUCCCCUCCAGGUCAUCCUAAGGACACUCCUCCAGGACUCUCAUGGCAACACAUAGUACAAACCAUGACUUCCUAACAGAAAGGGAAAUGACUUCUGUCUAAUUCAAAGAAUAUUAAGGUUUCUGAUUUGCAGAUUGUGACAUGAGAAUAGAGGAAAAACUUUCAGGACACUUAAGGAGAGCUGAAAUGCUCACGAAUAUUAAGCAGAGCAUAAGUCAACUGUAUGGACUGACCUAAUAGAAGACUGAAAUAAUUCUUCUAUUUACACCUUUUAACAAUUGAGUAAAGUAUACUGCUGUAAACAAAAUUUGGAGCAUAUUUGUUUCUCUCUACCUGAUUUCUCUAGAAUUAGGAAACUAUGAAUAUUCUUAACAUGUGAAUAUAGUUAUUUGCAUAAGUGCAGUAAGAAUCUGUUUUCUUUUGCAACAGGACACAAUUGGAAACUGGUUGUUUUACCAAGACUUUGUAAAGCCUUGCUAACUGGAAUUUGUGCUUUCCUUUAAGGAAUCAUAUUUGACUUAUAGAUCCAAUAAAAGCCCUUUGGGAAAACUGGCCUCAUACCUACUCUACACAGUUCCUGUACAGGAUUCCUGACCUGUGGCCAUCAAGCACCAGAUAAUCCUCAGUGAGUGAUACAUCCCCUUAAUAUUCAAGAGCCACCCUUCUGUAGGGGGCCGAUAGAAUGCCCCAUCAGUGGGACAAGACAGAGGUGAAAUCCUGCCCCUCUCUCCCUUGGACCUGGCUAGAUACUGCUUUUACCAUCCCAUGGAGUCACACUGCCCUGACAGGUAACAAGAGCCUAAGGCCCACAGAACAACCACCACGGUCCCUCUGUCAGCAGGGGGCAGUUACAGAAGACUGACCUUCAUCCAUUUUCCCCAAAGAAUUGGGGUCUUGGACUCCUGACGUGUGAAAUGUUAUAGUAGGCAGCUAGUCAGACAUGAGCAGGGAAGGAGAGGGCCCCUCUCCCCAACCAGGAAUGUCCGAUGACCAUCAGGUGAUGGUCAAGUGGUUGUUAACUGUUUCUCUAAAAUAAAAGUAAUGGCAAAACAGCAAUUACUUAUGCACAAACCUAAUAAUUAGUUGCAUCAAGUGCCAGGGAAAGACAGUCUCCCAAUAGACAGAAAAACCUGAAACUGGUGAUCAGCUCUCUGAUAAGAUUUUAGGAGUCAGGUGAGUUGUUUCAAGCAUGUGCACUAAGAGGCAAAAUGGCAGAGUUUAACUGGUAUACAAUCUUCCUCUACGAACAUGCAGCUGGUAAGGGAAAAAUGCCUCAAGUGACCAUGUGCACAACUUCGUAAACACACUGCAAAUGUGGCCCCUCUCAAGUGCUGGCAGGCCACUGUGCAUGCGGACAGCAACCCUAAGAAAACAAUGAGGGCAGAAGGGAUGCAAGACUCUGGAAAUAUGCCGGUGUAUAAAACCACGAGUCAAAGGUCAGGUCAAACAGGGCACUUGAUCUGUCAAGUCGCCCACUUGUCCCUCUUUCUUUCAUUCCUGCUCUAAACUUUUACUCAACUUUUACUCCUGCCUCAGUCUCUCACUCUGCCUUAUGCCCCUCAAAUUCUUUCCUCUGAGGAGGCAAGAAUAGAGGUUGCUGCAUACCAGUAUGGAUUCACUGCCCUUAACAAUGGUGAGCAUAGACUGGGGAAAGAGACUACCUAAAUUGAAUAGAAUAGGGUGGGCAUAUGCUGAUUAUAAUUAUAUUUGCUAUUUAUAUUAUAUUAUCUAAUACCUACCUAUUGUGUUAUUGGUUAAAAAUUUCUUCAGAAAUCAUCUCCCCAUUCAUUCAUAUAGUUGCAGUGAGAAUUGAACUAUUAUUGUUAUGUAAUUUUAUUCAUUUCCAUGGUUGAUAGGGCCAGAGAUGAGACCAUUUGAGUAACUGAGGCCAUUCCCUGGAAAUACAGGUGAAAAUGGAAGUCAUUUUUUCCUUGGUUCCAAGAUUGUAAUACAGGAGUCCCAUGCAUUAUUGGUUGGUUGUUUUAUUGCAUGGACAGUGAAGGAAAUGAAGCUUGUCUGUGGAGAGGUCAUAAAACAGGGAGAUCUAUAGAGAGACACAUGAAAGAGACGGACAAACGAACUGAUCAGUGGAGC